GACGAACGCUGGCGGCGUGCCUAACACAUGCAAGUCAAGGCGGUAGCAAUACCGACUGGCGCACGGGUGCGGAACACGUAGGUAAUCUGCCCUUUAGGGGAGAACAACUCAUCGAAAGGUGAGCUAAAUCUCCGUAAUGUUUAGCUAUGGCAUCAUAGCAUAAACCAAGUUUUCUGAAGGAUGAGCCUGCGUCUGAUUAGCUAGUUGGUGGUGUAAUGGACCACCAAGGCUACGAUCAGUAGCUGGUCUGAGAGGAUGAUCAGCCACAUUGGGACUGAGACACGGCCCAGACUCCUACGGGAGGCAGCAGUGAGGAAUAUUGCUCAAUGGACGAAAGUACUGAAGCAGCAACGCCGCGUGAGGGA
rnacentral:rRNA from 1 species